rnacentral:rRNA from 1 species
AUAUCAAUAGGCGGAGGAAAAGAAACCAACUGGGAUUCCCUUAGUAACGGCGAGUGAAUAGGGAAGAGCUCAUGCUUAAAAUCAGGUGCUUAUUAACGCAUCCGAAUUGUAGCGUUUGGAAGGGUCGGUGAAUCGGAUAAUCUCGGUUUAAGUUCCCUGGAAAGGGACACCCUAGAAGGUGAAAGUCCUGUAAAACUUUGACCGUCUUUUUCACCCACUUAUUCCUAGAGUCGGGUUGCUUGGGAGUGUAACCCUAAUCGGGUGGUAAACCCCACCUAAAGCUAAAUAUUGGCGAGAGACCGAUAGCGCACAAGUA